AGGUAGGUGCACACAUAAAUUAGCAGUGUCUUAGGGUUUUUUACCAAAGGGUGUAAUAAAAACAAAAUAUAUAGCAGAAAAGGGUGGGUAAAUAUUAUUGUAAUUUAUUAAAAUAAUAUUUAUAUUUUAUUUAAAAUAUAAAAUAAAAUAUUAAAAAAAUCAAAACAAUAGCUGGACGCUGUUAUAAUUAGCGUCCAGCUUUCCUUAUUUUGUUUAAAACUUUUAUGCUAUUUAUAAUAUCGUCCGGAUCUUAAAGCGCUAUUAUAAUUAGCAUUCCACCUUUACAUCUUCCACCUUAGCAUUAUUCACCCUGUUUUGGUAAUUAAAAUAAAUCCCACACUUUUUUGCUAUAUAUUUGUUUUUGUUACACCCCUUUGGUAAAAAACCCAGUGUCUUAAGAGUGAAACUGUUUUUUACUGUUUUUGGGUAAUGGCAUUUGUAUUUGUGUGAUUGCAGGAUCCCAGCAAGUUUGCUGUUGCUGCUGUUCCGGUUGCAGCUGCUGAUGCUGGUGCUGCCCCA
rnacentral:misc_RNA from 1 species